rnacentral:rRNA from 1 species
AAUCUUGGACAAUGGGCGCAAGCCUGAUCCAGCCAUACCGCGUGAGUGAAGAAGGCCUUAGGGUUGUAAAGCUCUUUCAGGGGUGAGGAUAAUGACAGUAACCCCAGAAGAAGCACCGGCUAACUUCGUGCCAGCAGCCGCGGUAAUACGAAGGGUGCAAGCGUUGUUCGGAAUCACUGGGCGUAAAGGGCGUGUAGGCGGAUUGAUAAGUAAGAGGUGAAAGCCCCGGGCUCAACCUGGGAACUGCCUUUUAAACUAUCAAUCUAGAAUUCGGGAGGGGAGUGUGGAAUUCCUAGUGUAGAGGUGAAAUUCGUAGAUAUUAGGAAGAACACCGGUGGCGAAGGCGACACUCUGGACCGAUAUUGACGCUGAGGCGCGAAAGCGUGGGGAGCAAACAGGAUUAGAUACCCUGGUAGUCCACGCCGUA